UGCGAAUGCUGACAUAAGUAACGAUAAAGCGGGUGAAAAGCCCGCUCGCCGGAAGACCAAGGGUUCCUGUCCAACGUUAAUCGGGGCAGGGUGAGUCGACCCCUAAGGCGAGGCCGAAAGGCGUAGUCGAUGGGAAACAGGUUAAUAUUCCUGUACUUGGUGUUACUGCGAAGGGGGGACGGAGAAGGCUAUGUUGGCCGGGCGACGGUUGUCCCGGUUUAAGCGUGUAGGCUGGUUUUCCAGGCAAAUCCGGAAAAUC
rnacentral:rRNA from 1 species